rnacentral:lncRNA from 1 species
ACCCAAGGUAUAGUCUGGCCCUUUCUUCAAGCUAGCACUUGAAGUGGCUGCUGGGGAAGAAGAGACAACCUGCAAGCUGUGUAACCUUAUGAGCUCAAACGUCUCUUUCCAACAUGGGAACUGCAGUGUCAGCACUAGAAGCACCGCAUAACAUGGGCCCAUCAGUUCCUGCUCAAUGCAGACAGUAACCAGAGAGAGAAACCCACUCGAGCCUCCUGAGCUGAAAACAGGACAACAGGACUGGACGCAGAUCUGCCUCCCUGGUCCUCUCUCUGCCCACAGAGUGAUUGGAAUGCAGAACCAAUGGGAGCAGCAUGAAGCACUGUUACAGCACAUCUACAAAGCUACAUGCCAUCGGGAAUUAAAGCAGACUCUUGUGUUUUGUCAGCUUUAGCCAAAUAAUGUGAGCUUGCAGAGCCGUGGCCUCCCAACAGCACAAGGCCCAGAGGAAAUGGCCCAGAACAGAGGCCAACAUCCAUUAAGGGCGUCCACAGGGACAGCCAGAGUGCGUCUCCCCAUCUCCCCAGGCAGAUGGUCACACUGGCGGUUGAGCCAGUGUCUGCCCAGUGGAAGGAGGAAAGACAGAGCACGGUGGUAGCUGCCAAGCGCUGGAAUGAGCAGCAGCCACUGGGGAAUGGACUGAAGCAGAGACUUCAUGCUGCAGGGAAGAAAGUUCAGCUUAGAAGAGAGUACCCUGUGCACUGCUCCUCAGGAUGCUCCUCUUGACUCUCCUCCUCCAUCAGUCUCCUGACCACAGUCCUAUUCUAGUCCUUGGGGUCUUCCCCGCAUGGUGACCUUAAAGCAACGACACCAAAGUCCCCUCUGAUCCCACCAAAGCCACCCUAAUUCCUAAAAUCCCUAGGGCCCCUGUAGGCUCAAACCACACCCUCCACUCACCUGUUUCAAUAUGUCUCCCCAGCUGUACCCAACACUCUCUCCUGGCUCCACUGUUUCUUCACAGCCUGCCAUCCACGCACCAGCAAGCCAAGACAAGAGAUCUCCUCCCUGGACUACACUAAAAUGAUUCUCUGGCUUUUACUCUUGGACAGCUAGCUUCCUGCUCUCCUUUUUGCUGCCUGCCCACUCCAGAAGGCUGCCUGCCAGCCUUCUAGAUAUCUGACUCAGCCACUGGCUCAGCUCAGAUCAGCCUUGCUGUUCAUCCACCCCUAGUCCCAGCUUGAGGUGGGCUAGACAUUUGAUUCAAGAACCCCUUUGAUUUCGAUAUCUCUGUAGCCUCAAGGAAGAUACUCAAGCACCAGAACCCUGCUGAGCACUAGAGGAGCCUCCCUGGGGCAGUCAUCCCAGCUUCCUUCCUGAGAAGGGGGAUUCAGACAGUCCUGAUAACUCCUUUCCCUCUGCACUACUGUCCACGCUAUUCCUGUGCCUAAAACAACAUUGACAGGUCUCUGUGCUCUGUCACCAGUACUGCAACACCAAAGAAGUACCUCAGCCAGGCACCCAGCUUCUGAUCCCAGGGAGCAUUCUAUUCUCUCUCACUUGAUCACGUCCACCUCACAUGAGGGCCUGCCAUACUGCUGCAGGUUUGUGUGCAUCCCACUUCCUCUACCCAAAAGCACAAUCAUUAUGGCACACACCGUCCCCACCUUUAUGUGUCCUUCAAAAUCGAGUAAAAUACCUUGGUAGGUACCUUGGGCCUGAGUAAAUUUUACUGAGUUGAGUCAUGACCCAUUUGAUGUAUGUUGGAGAGAAACAAUAUGGGACAGCUCUGCAGGCCACUGGGUGGUGCCCCUUCCUCUGGGAAACCCAACCCCUCCCUCCAGUGCUUCAUUUGAGGUCGUGGUAAAAAUUAGUUUCCAAACCAAACCACAGGUCGGUCUCCACUCCUUCUGUGAUGACGCAGGUGUGGUGCAAACCACACCAACUCAGUGCUCCUCACAUAUCCCUUUGUGUGUUUCUGCCUUUGAUUUAUGCAAAUGAAUUUUGCUCCCCAAAUACAAGUUCCUCACCAGGAAGGCCCUAACGUUGAUUACUAUAUUUAUAUUUUAUCAAUAUUUGGGAUUCAAUUUUUGAUAUAUGUUUUCAAGGCAUCUCUAUCUGAAUGAGCCAUCGCAGAAGCAACAGAACUCUGCCUGAAAGCAAAAGGGCCAGCAGGAAAAAAGGAAAAGUCAUCUGUGUCUAGUGUUUUCUGUGUGUCAGGCACUCAGUGCUCCAGACUAUUAAUCCAUUUCAUUUCCAGUCAACUUCAUGGAGUAGCUGUAAUUAUCAUCCCCAAUUUGCAAAUGAGGAAACUAAGACAGGGAGAGCUUAAAUAACUUCACACAAAGUCAAGUCAGCACCCACAUUCUCAGCCACUUUCGACUGUUUACUGCCCAAGUUAUCAGCUGUGUUCUGGGCUCUGAGCUGGCACAGCAAGGAUGGGGUGCCAGGAGGGCUCCUCUCUGCCUCUCCAAGGAAUCCUAACUUCCCCAGGAAGUGAGGAGUGGAAGGUUCUGCAUCUCUAACUUUCUCUUCUACCUGUGUAGGGAAUUUUUAACCUCCUUGUUAGUGAUCAGCCAGGGAAAGAUGUAAAAUGCUGCUCAUUGUGCUUGCUGAACUCAAGGUACCAAAGGGUGACUCAGCAAAGCUGAGAGUCAAGAGCCAUUUCUUUCCUGGUUACUUAGAAUCCUAUGUGCAAACUAUAGAGUCUCAUGAAAAACUAAGCCUCUUUCUAACAGCCAGCUCUAGCUUGCCAGCCAUGUGAGUGGCUUCCUUGGGAGUUGAUGCCCUAGCCUCAGUCAAGCCUUUAGAUGAUCCAUCCUCAAAUAACAGCCUGACUGAAACCCCAUGGGAGUUCCUGAGCUGGAAGCACCCAGCCAAGCCCCACCUGGAUCCUGACCCCGAGAAACUGUGUGAGUUAAAUGUUUGCUGUUUAAGCUGCUAAAUUUGAGGAUAAUUUGUUAGACUAAAGUCAAUAACUAGUAAGAUUAUGCAUUUGCAUAUAUUAUCUCUUGUAUUAGGUUUUAGAUUCCUUGAAACGAUGAUUCAGUAUAUCAUGUUGUAUCUAGCACAGUGCCUAAAACCUGAUUAAGUCCUCCAGAAAUGUUCUUUGCACACAUGAAUAAAUGAAUGAAUUUCUUAUCA